GGUGCACUAUUAUAAUUCUACUACUAUGUGAAUGAAUUCUCUAUUGUGUCCACUUUAUUUUGCAGAGCAUGUGCCCAACUAUAUCCUCAUGACUGAUUAUUUCACCUUCGUUUAUGUUAUCUAUACUGAGACAAUGGAGGCAGUGCAAUGAUGAACUUUGUUAGAGUGAGACAAUGGAAUCGUGCAGUGAUGAUCGUUCUUGCUAUUAUUCCAUCAAUCUUGCUAUUUUGCAUUGGUUUUAUGAGGGUAAUAUGAUUACCUUGGCAAUUGUCCUUUGCAUG
rnacentral:lncRNA from 1 species